rnacentral:rRNA from 1 species
GACGAACGCUGGCGGCGUGCCUAAUACAUGCAAGUAGAACGCUGAAGAGAGGAGCUUACUCUUCUUGGAUGAGUUGCGAACGGGUGAGUAACGCGUAGGUAACCUGCCUUGUAGCGGGGGAUAACUAUUGGAAACGAUAGCUAAUACCGCAUAACAAUGGAUGACACAUGUCAUUUAUUUGAAAGGGGCAAUUGCUCCACUACAAGAUGGACCUGCGUUGUAUUAGCUAGUAGGUGAGGUAAUGGCUCACCUAGGCGACGAUACAUAGCCGACCUGAGAGGGUGAUCGGCCACACUGGGACUGAGACACGGCCCAGACUCCUACGGGAGGCAGCAGUAGGGAAUCUUCGGCAAUAGGGGCAACCCUGACCUAGCAACGCCGCGUGAGUGAAGAAGGUUGUCGGAUCGUAAAGCUCUGUUGUAAGUCAAGAACGGGUGUGAGAGUGGAAAGUUCACACUGUGACGGUAGCUUACCAGAAAGGGACGGCUAACUACGUG